UUUCACUUGCCAGAGGCUGGGGUUACGACACCUCCUGGCGUCUUUCACGCGGCGCUGUGUGGUGACAGAAGCUCACUGGUAUGGCUGCAUACUAUUCUCCAACUGAUGCACUCAAUGUCUGCUGCUGGUAAUUCUCGUGGUAGCGUCGAUCCCUCCGACCCACGCUGAUUGUCUGAAGCGGCCCAACCGGGCAGGGAUCAUGGAGCAUCAGCUCUACACCCGAUAACUUGCCAGAGACCACUGCUGCUUUGCCUUUUGGCUAAAUUGCUUUGCUUUGCUUUAGUUAAACUAACCCAGUUCGGGCUUCGCCUUGCCUUGGUUAAACUAUGUUUGGGUUUGCUUGUUUUGGAUGAACUAACCAUGUUGCUUUACUUCGCCUUUGCUAAACCCACCCUGUUUCGGUCUGCUUUGUCGUUGGCCUCCCGACAUUGCUCAUUGAGUUUCACUGUGGGCCUCCUACUAGGUCAAGAAAUAUUUUAACUGUAUGUACGAGAGACAGGCCGUACUUCUUGUCUGUUUUCUUUAUUUUGUGAUUUGGUUAAACAGUUUGUCGGUGUUUUAUUAGUUUUUGGUUAAAAUGUAAUUGUAUUCUCCUGUUUUGGUUUAGUUUCAUUUAUUUUAGACCUGUUGCCCUCCUCUUCCCCCCCUUCAGGUGCGGAGUCUGCGGUGGUGGAUUGGUGUCCCAGGUGGUGGUGUCCCUCUCAUGUUAUGUUUUUGCAUGUUUGAGUUUGCUUCACUUUUAGUUUCACGUGUGGUGCUCCUUGGGUCCCCUUUUCUUUGGAUCGUCCAUCCUCGUAAGUCUCAGCCCUGAU